rnacentral:rRNA from 1 species
UAAAUGGAGAGUUUGAUCCUGGCUCAGGACGAACGCUGGCGGCGUGCUUAACACAUGCAAGUCGAACGGAGGUUACGAGGAAGCUUGCGAAUUGUAACCUUAGUGGCGGACGGGUGAGUAACGC